rnacentral:rRNA from 1 species
AUUGAACGCUGGCGGCACGCCUAACACAUGCAAGUCGAGCGGCAGCGAGACUAGUAGCAAUACUAGUUGUCGGCGAGCGGCGGACGGGUGAGUAACACGUAGGAAUCUGCCCUUAAGCGGGGGAUAACCAAGGGAAACUUUGGCUAAUGCCGCAUAAUCUCGAGAGAGCAAAGCUGCCCGCAAGGGGGGCACUUGAGGAGGAGCCUGCGUCCGAUUAGCUAGUCGGUGGGGUAAUGGCCUACCAAGGCGAUGAUCGGUAACUGGUCUGAGAGGACGACCAGUCACACUGGGACUGAGACACGGCCCAGACUCCUACGGGAGGCAGCAGUGGGGAAUAUUGGACAAUGGGGGCAACCCUGAUCCAGCGAUGCCGCGUGAGUGAAGAAGGCCUUCGGGUCGUAAAGCUCUUUAGGUUGGGAAGAAGGGUAUUGGCUGAAUAAUCCAGUACUUUGACGGUACCGACAGAAUAAGCACCGGCAAACUCUGUGCCAGCCGCCGCCGUAACAC